UGUUGCUAAGGCAGCCCCUUCAGAUGGUACCAGGAAGGCAGAGGGUUAGCAUGGCUGCAAUGAUCAGACCUCAGGAACAUUACAGGUUCCUUCCUCUGUUGCCGUCCUAAGACCUGGGACAUUCCAGGGUUGGAGAAGAGCACCAUUGAACGACAGCAUCUUUGGGUUGCCUUCUGCUGCUGGGAGAAUCAUGAAUCACUCGAAGCCGUCCAUGGCAGAGGGAGACUGGUCCAGACGCUGGGAGCUGGACAGAUGGAGUAUCAAGAGAACAGAAGCCAGGCUCAGCCAUGGGCUGCAGGACUUAGAGGAAACACGAGUCCAGCAAAUGAACUCAAUGGUCAAAGAGCAGAGGCAGAUUCAGAAAGAACUGGUGAGGCUGCAGCAAGGCAAGUCCAGGAAGGUGGCUUGUUUAAUUGCAGAUUUCCCAAGGGCAGCUGGUAAAAAAGCAACUCUGCCCACACUUUCUUCUGCGAUAGGAGAGCACCAGAGCAGCACCGAGGGUGAACGACUGAGAGCAUCAAAAGCUGCUUUGCCCAAGCCUGGUGGGCUCACCUUGGUGGCUGAAUCAACCUUGCAACAUCAGACAGGCAACAGAGAUA